rnacentral:rRNA from 1 species
AUACGUAGGGAGCGAGCGUUGUCCGGAAUUACUGGGUGUAAAGGGAGCGUAGGCGGGAGUGCAAGUCAGAUGUGAAAUACAUGGGCUCAACCCAUGGGCUGCAUUUGAAACUGCAUUUCUUGAGUGAAGUAGAGGUAAGCGGAAUUCCUGGUGUAGCGGUGAAAUGCGUAGAUAUCAGGAGGAACACCGGUGGCGAAGGCGGCUUACUGGGCUUUUACUGACGCUGAGGCUCGAAAGCGUGGGGGGCAAACAGGAUUAGAUACCCUGGUAGUCCACGCUGUAAACGAUGAUUACUAGGUGUGGGGGGACUGACCCCUUCCGUGCCGCAGUUAACACAAUAAGUAAUCCACCUGGGGAGUACGGCCGCAAGGUUGAAACUCAAAGGAAUUGACGGGG